AUACGUAGGUGACAAGCGUUAUCCGGAUUUACUGGGCGUAAAGGGCGUGUAAGCGGUCUUGCAAGUCAGAAGUGAAAUUCCUGAGCUCAACUCGGGCGCUGCUUCUGAAACUGCAGGACUUGAGUGCUGGAGGGGAUAGCGGAAUUCCUAGUGGAGCGGCAAAAUGCGCAGAUAUUAGGAAGAACACCGGUGGCGAAGGCGGAUAUCUGGACAGUAACUUACGCUGAGGCGCGAAAGCGUGGAGAGCAAACAGGAUUAGAUUCCCUGUUAGUCCACGCCGUAAACGAUGAAUGCUAGGUGUAGGGGGUAUCGACUCCCUCUGUGCCGCAGUUAACACAAUAAGUAUGCCGCCGGGGGAGUACGGCCGCAAGGUUGAAACUCAAAGGAAUUGACGGG
rnacentral:rRNA from 1 species